UUUACAGGCCAACCACCCUGAGAACGCCCGAUCUCGUCUGAUCUCAUCUGAUGUUGGAAGCUAAGCGGGGUUGGGCCUAGUUAGUACUUGGAUGGGGGAACACCCGGGAAUACUAAGUGCCAUUCAGG
rnacentral:rRNA from 1 species